rnacentral:snRNA from 1 species
GCUAAAAGUUUAGAGUGAA